rnacentral:SRP_RNA from 1 species
GAUGGUCGCGGUGGCGCAUGCCUGUAGUCCCAGCUACCUGGGAGGCUGGGACUGGAGGAUAGCUUGAGUCUAGGAGUUCUGGGCUGCUGUGCGCUAUGCCGAUCGGGUGUCCGCACUAAGUUCGGCAUCAAUAUGGUGACCUCUUGGGAGCAGGGGACCACCAGGUUGCCUAAGCAGGGGUGAACCGGCCCAGGUCGGAAAUGGAGCAGGUCAAAACUCCCGUGAUGAUGGUCAUUUUAACUGGAGUUAGGUGGUAUCUCAGUGUGGUUUUAAUUUGCAUUUCUU